rnacentral:rRNA from 1 species
UAUCUCUGUAGAGUCUGCAUAUCAAUAAGCGGAGGAAAAGAAACUAACAAGGAUUCCCUUAGUAACGGCGAGUGAAGCGGGAAGAGCUCAAAUUUGAAAUCUUCAAGGUUUUACCUUGACGAAUUGUAGUUUAAAGAAGUGUUUUCUGUUGAAGUUUUGGUAAAAGUUCUUUGGAAUAGGACAUCAUAGAGGGUGAGAAUCCCGUAUUUGACCAGUUAUUUUCAGCUGUGUGAUACACUUUCAAAGAGUCGGAUUGUUUGGGAAUGCAGUCCAAAAUGGGUGGUAAAUUUCAUCUAAAGCUAAAUAUUGGCGAGAGACCGAUAGCGAACAAGUACCGUGAGGGAAAGAUGAAAAGAACUUUGAAAAGAGAGUUAAACAGUACGUGAAAUUGUCAAAAGGGAAGCGUUUGACACCAGUGUUGUUUUCUCGAAAAUCAAUUAAAAAGAGUUAGAUUUUGUUGUGUAUUGACCUUAACAGCUUGCAUUUCAAUUUUCUUGCUUUUUUUAAUGCACUUUUCGUUUAACAAGUCAACAUCAGUUUCUUUUGUUGUAAAAAGGUCAUUGGAAGGUGGCUUUCUUUUCGGAGAAAGUGUUUAUAGCCUUUGACUCCUGCAAUCGGAGAGACUGAGGUCUGCAGCGUAGAUCCUUCGGGGUUAGAUACAUUUGUGCUAAGUUAUAGCUUUUUAUAGACAACUUGUUGACUAUGAUUAGUCUUGUAGCUUACUCGCUUAUGCUAUUUUACCUACGCUUAGGAUGUUGAAGAUGUAGCACAUCAU